UACACGGAAAGGAAAUUAGAAGU
rnacentral:piRNA from 1 species